rnacentral:rRNA from 1 species
GACGAACGCUGGCGGCGUGCUUAACACAUGCAAGUCGAACGGAAAGGCCCUUCGGGGUGCUCGAGUGGCGAACGGGUGAGUAACACGUGGGUGAUCUGCCCUGCACUUUGGGAUAAGCCUGGGAAACUGGGUCUAAUACCGAAUAGGACCGCGCUCUUCAUGGGGUGUGGUGGAGAGCUUUUGCGGUGUGGGAUGGGCCCGCGGCCUAUCAGCUUGUUGGUGGGGUAAUGGCCUACCAAGGCGACGACGGGUAGCCGGCCUGAGAGGGUGACCGGCCACACUGGGACUGAGAUACGGCCCAGACUCCUACGGGAGGCAGCAGUGGGGAAUAUUGCACAAUGGGCGCAAGCCUGAUGCAGCGACGCCGCGUGAGGGAUGACGGCCUUCGGGUUGUAAACCUCUUUCAGUACCGACGAAGCGCAAGUGACGGUAGGUACAGAAGAAGGACCGGCCAACUACGUGCCAGCCGCCGCCGUAAGAC